AGGGAACUCAAAAUAGGUGUGUGGCCUCUAGUCACCAAAUGGCUUCUUGGCUCUGCUUUAAAUUUAGGCCCACUCAGCCACUUAAGGUCCAUCUUGAAGGACUGGCUCUUUCAGGGUCACAUUUGUUCAUGCAAACUAUUGAUAUUGCAUGCUAUUUACCACUAUUUCAGAUGAAAUUGCCACAGGAUUUAAAUCAUUGGACAAUUUAAGAGAGCAAAGGCUUUUGGAAGCUGCCAGAGUUUCAUUCCCAGGUCCUCCACUUACCAGCAAUGAGACUUCAUGUGACCUCAGCAUCUAACCAGAGUAUGCUGGUCGUAACUGGAAAACCAACAGAGGCCAGGCGCGGUGGCUCAUACCUGCAAUCCCAGCACUUUGGGAGGCCGAGGCGGGUGGAUCACGUGAAGUCAGGAGUUCGAGACCAGCCUGACCAACAUGGUAAAACCUCAUCUCUACUAAAGAAAAUACAACAUGGGGGCAUGUGCCUCUGUAAUCCCAGCCACUUGGGAGGCUGAGGCAGGAGAAUCUCAUGAACCCGGGAGGCGGAGGUUACAGUGAGCUGAGAUGGUGCCACUGCUCUCCAGGCUGGAUAAGUGAGACUCUGCCUCAAAAAAAAAAAAAAAAAGGCAGAUGAGUUUUAAAGGCACAGUGCUUUUGGCCUUCUUCAGUCCAACAGCACAAGGCACACAAAGUAUCAAUGCCAUAUGAAGUCCUACUAUUAGACCUCAGGCCUCUAAUAGCACCGCUACUGUUUGUCACUGUAGCAAUCCUAAAGUACAACCUGACUCCUGAGCUGCUCCUGAUGCAGUAAAGGUUCCACCCUGUGUAGUCCUGCAUGGUGACAGAUACACCAUAACAGAGUCCUUAUUAAAAAG